UACGGAGGUGGCGAGCGUUGUCCGAAGUUACUGGGCGUAAAGCGCGCGUAGGCGGGGGAUUAAGUGAGAAGUGAAAGGCUGGGGCUCAACUCCAUGCAGUGCUUCUCAUACUGGUCUUCUUGAGGGGGGUAGAGAGAAGUGGAAUGGCUGGUGUAGCGGUGAAAUGCGCAGAUAUCAGGAAGAACACCCGUGGCUAAGGCGGCUCUCUAGUACGGUACUGACGCUGAGACGCGAAAGCGUGGGGAGCGAACAGG
rnacentral:rRNA from 1 species